UGCCCAGCAACUCCUAUCCCUACCUUCUCGUGGUGCUGGCCGGGGUACGAGUAACCUUAGAGAAGA
rfam:Aedes aegypti strain Liverpool supercont1.254 genomic scaffold, whole genome shotgun sequence.